AGACAUGGUCACUAUCUUGUGCUGAAAUCCUGUCCCUCACGAGGCACUAUUUAGUUUAAGUGCCGUUCUCCUUUUCGCUUAAGAACCCUAUCCUUUUUCUUUUCUCUUGUGCGUAAGUCCCAGUUUGCUGCUAAUCUCUCCGUCUCUGUUGAUCGAUCACAAUCUCUCCACGGUCAAAUCGCUCUCUCAAAUCGCGGUAUUGGGUCUCCAGUCCGCGGCACUGCGAAGAUCCCAGCUACUUGGAGCAAGAAAUUUACUUCUCGAAAGAGAGAAAAGGAGGAAAGGAAAGGGAAAAAAAUAUGGGAAAUUCGUGCUUUGGCGUGGCAAAGGAUCGCAAUCCCAAAUCCAGCGGCCAUCGAAUUCACCGCAGCAGGUCCUCGUCGUCAAUCGAUUCGUGUUCUUCUUCCUCGUCGGGGGAUAGGAUCAAAAGGCACAACCUCGUGAGGGAUGGAUUGGAGCCUUCUGGCGAGUCAGGAUGGGGUCCCCCGAUUCGGCUCGUUAUCUCGAAGGAGCAAGUCGAUGAAAUCGUCUCCGGCGCGUAUCAUCCGUCCAAGAUCGAUUACUUGGACCAUUUGGUGACGACGAUGCUCCGGGAAGAACUCAAGAAGCUUGGAGCAACGGCAACAGCAACAGCACGAUGAAAAGGAGAUAGAGUUUUUUCAUGCUGGUCAGAGUGUCAGCUAGCUCUAGCCAGCCAGUCGGAAGAACACACUUUUUUGGUUUUUCUGGAUACCUUGUAGUUCUUUUUUUUCCACCCCAUCCAAUCAAUUGCGAUGUCCAUAAUCAUGACAAGAAAAU
rnacentral:lncRNA from 1 species